rnacentral:rRNA from 1 species
GAGACUCUGUGCGCGUGCAUAUCAAUAAGCGGAGGAAAAGAAACUAACAAGGAUUCCCUUAGUAACGGCGAGUGAAGCGGGAAGAGCUCAAAUUUGAAAUCUUCAAGGUUUUACCUUGACGAAUUGUAGUUUAAAGAAGUGUUUUCUGUUGAAGUUUUGGUAAAAGUUCUUUGGAAUAGGACAUCAUAGAGGGUGAGAAUCCCGUAUUUGACCAUUAUUUUCAGCUGUGUGAUACACUUUCAAAGAGUCGGAUUGUUUGGGAAUGCAGUCCAAAAUGGGUGGUAAAUUUCAUCUAAAGCUAAAUAUUGGCGAGAGACCGAUAGCGAACAAGUACCGUGAGGGAAAGAUGAAAAGAACUUUGAAAAGAGAGUUAAACAGUACGUGAAAUUGUCAAAAGGGAAGCGUUUGACACCAGUGUUGUUUUCUCGAAAAUCAAUUAAAAAAAGUUGGAUCUUGUGUUGUAUUGACCUUAACAGCUUGCUUCACUCUUUUCCUGCUUUUUUUAAUGCACUUUUCGUUUAACAAGUCAACAUCAGUUUCUUUUGUUGUAAAAGGGUCAUAGGAAGGUGGCUUUCUUUUCGGAGAAAGUGUUCAUAGCCUUUGAUCUCUGCAAUCGGAGAGACUGAGGUCUGCAGCGUAGAUCCUUCGGGGUUAGAUACAUUUGUGCUAAGUUAUAACCUUUCAUAGACAACUUGUUGACUAUGUUUAGUCAUGUAGCUUACUCGCUUAUGCUAUUUUACCUACGCUUAGGAUGUUGAAUCUGUGCGAGAACUAC